CCUCUGUCCCCUGUCUCUCUGCCCCUCCCUUGCUUGUGUGCUCUCUUUCAGAAAUAAACAUUUAAAACGAAACAUGCCGUAACUCAGUGUCAGAGCCUAGGAUAAUGCCGGGCCCAUUGUGGGGCCCCCAGGUAUUGGUUGAACAAAUGAAUUAAUGAAUGAAUGAGUUUAUAAAUCACUGGCUAGCAGUAUUUAAUAAAAUAUGUCUGUAGAGCGAGCCAUUUCCCAUAUUGAGGGUGGAUUCACGGUGGUGCAACCAACUGUCACACACACACACACACACACACACACGGUGUCCCUUGUCACAAUUUAGAUAAUAGCUGGGUGUGGUCAAGAGUCCAGGACUCCCGACAGAGAGAAGCCAGCAACUCCUGAGGACUGAGCUCUCGGCUGAGGUGAACAGCGAUGGAUAGUUGAAGACCACUCUUCCAGAAGCUUUCCGUUCUACAGCUGUACCACCCAAUAUGGCGGCUACUAGCCCUUGAAAGAUGGCUCCUCUAAACUGAGAUGUGCUGUAAAUGUAGAGUGCACACCAGAUUUCAAAGAUUUAAUACCAAAAAUGUAAAGUAUCUCAUUUAUAAUGUUUAUGUAUGGAUCACACGUUGCAAUGAUACUCUCGUGGCUGUAGGUGUUAAGUAAAAUGUAUUACUAGAAUUAAUUUCACCUGUUUCUUUGUACUUUUCUUAAUCUGACUACUAGAAAUUUUAAAUUACAUAUACAGCUCACAUUAUGUUCCUAUUGAUCUAGAAGUUCUACGGGAGCCAGCAAGCCUCACAGCUGAAAUAAGUGCUGGUCCCCCCCCCCGCCCCUGCGCACUUAUCUUCAGGGAUGAUUUCUUGCAGACAAUAUUGAAAAAUGUGCCGAUGAAAGUUACCACAAGAAGCAAACUGGUCCUGUCUGAAUCUGGAAAUAGUUCUUUGAAGCUUGUUACCAUAUGAUCACGAGAGUGUUUCAUUAAGUAUUUCUGAUCACAGAUGUGGCACAUUAUUAAAAUAUCAUUUUUACGGUCACCCUAGAGGCGAGGGUUAUCUGAAUAUGGAGAGAGAAACAGCUUGUGGGAGCUGUUGUAUAAAUGAAAUUACUAGAAAGCAGUGCACUCGAUUGCAUAUUGGCUUGGGGGCUUAUUCUUAUUAAAAUGUUUAGAUAGCAGUUUCUGUUCAUUUUCUGCAGAAUUGCUCUCCAAAUUAAAAAUUUGGCUUGGCACACCAAUAGACCAGAGUCCUGGGAGAAGUUUAUCCUCCUUUUCUUCUCGUUAUCCUUGCCUAAGCACUUAGAUGCCGUGCUGAUAGGGAGCGCAGAAGGUCUGCACGGAGCACACGCGUUUGAAUUUCCUGCAGCCCUGCAAAUGGGCGCACUCGAACUUGCCUAAAAGAAGUCAGCGCGGGCUUCAAGCAUAUCAGAAGGUCUAUCUAUAGGAAAGCAACCACUCUGUCUCUCUUAUGAUAAUUUUUAGAAACAAUUUUUAACGGAAAUUGGCCUUCAUAGUUGAAGACUUGCAAAAAUAGACUAGAAGCCACUGCAUACACAAAAUGAAAUAUAAGCCUUCGCAGAAUUCAGACUAAUAAAUGACUUCUCAGCCAAUGAACAAGACAGCAGAAGACUGAACCUUUGGUGCAAGAUGACUUCCUUCCCUACGUGUAUGUUUGCUUCCUCGACGUCAACACGAUGGCAACCAGAACGCGGCCACGGCAACUGUCUGGAAACGUCUAUUCUCACCUGGAGCCCAAGAGCCACGCCCACUGGGCACACAGCCUCCCUCCCUCACCUCAAUUAUAUUCAAAUUUACCAAUGCUUCAGCUGGUGUGAAAAGAGUGCUAGCUGAUGCUAUUGACCGUGAAGUGGGAUGAUUCUUGUAACUUCCGUCAGCAAAAGGCCUUAUUGGCAGUGGGGUUGGGGAGCUGGGGAAAGAGUGUGUGUGUGUGUGUGUGUGUGUGUGUGUGUGUGAUUCGUUCGCGCCUACAGAGAGGACAAAACCCACAAUAACAUUUUGUGAUUCAGCUGACACAUCCUUUCUCUCUGUCUCUCAAUCACCUAGGUUAAUGAGGACAACAGAAAACAUAGUUAAUGCCUGAACCUACUCUCAUCAUAAUCCUUUGUUUCAAAGCCCUUCCUUUCCUGAGAUCACUACCUUCACUCUUCCCUGUCGUGAGGCUGUUAUUGAGGAAUUAAAUGGGGGGAGGCCAGGCAGAGAAAGGAAGUGGGCCGCCAGAAAGUCAAGAGUUGCGUGGGUACUCUUCUAGAAUGUUCCGCAUUACUUCAGUGAGGGAUUCUUAACUAGUGUGUUACUAUGAAACAAGUCAAAUAAAUCUCUGACCUUGAUAAAGUG